GCUGCUGUAGCUCAGUGGUAGAGCACUCCAUUGGUAAUGGAGAGGUCGACAGUUCAAUCCUGUCUAGCAGCACCA
rnacentral:tRNA from 3 species